AAUCCAUCUCAGCCCACAUCCAGAUUUGAUUCUAAAACCAAUAAAAAUCUAUAUAAAUAAACUUCUCAACCCAAAACCCAAAAUCUACAAAUAAAAUCCCAAAAUCCAAAGUCCACAAAUAAAAUCCCAAAAUCCAAAGUCCACAAAUAAAAUCCCAAAAUUCAAAGUCCACAAAUAAGAUCCAAAUUCCAAAAUCCAGAAAUAUAAUCCAACAAAAUCUACCAAAUCUAUGUCAUCCAAAUGCCUCCAACCCAAACCGAAUUUAUGGGCUUUCCAAAUAGGCCCCUAAUUAUUAAUUAAUUCUAUGAAUUAAAUUUUAAAAGGGUUUUCCAAAUGAGCCCCAGAUCACGAAUUAAUUAUAUGAAUUAUUUUCAUGGGUUGGUCAAAUGGGCUCUCUUAUCAUGAGUUAAUUCAUGGGCCCUCUUAUCAUGAAUUAAUUUCAUGAACUUUCCAAAUGGGCCCUCCUAUCAUGAAUUAAUUCAUAGGUUCUCCAAAUGGACCAUAUGUCACACCCCAAUAAUCCCACAUCGGAUAAGAAUGGGAAUGUGAUUGGGUAUUUAGAAGACUUAGACACUAGUAAUAAUAACUGGGCUUAAGCAUUUUGCGCCGGUGGUUUGGCCCUACGAGUUAUUGUUGCUAGUGGGCUGGGUCGUUACAUUUAGUAUCAGAGCCAAAUCACCAGCCGGAAAUGUAUGACGAGACUUAGCUGANCUGGGGGGACCGGUCUCUCCUCCCAGGGACCGGUCCCCGAGAGUGAAAACUCUCAGGACUUGUCCAGAAUUCCGAUUUUCGAACUUUUUAGGUCGAAAAACAUUCUACGUCCCUCCACCAAGUGUGGAAAAGCUCGAAACACAUCCAAACACUCGAACCUCGCAAUUUGCAAAGGUCCAGUGUGUUACAAUCAAUUUCGUAUAUUUGGACAAAAAAAAAGAUGAAUAAACAAAUUAAAAAAACAAAGAAAAAAAAAGCAAGAAAAAAAAAAGAAAGAAAAGGGGGCACCCCUCCCUCUCUCUCUCGAUUUCGUAGAGAAGAAAAAAAAAAGAGUUGGGUUUCCCACUUUCUCUGGCAGUCAACACAAAAAAAAAAGAAAAGAAGAACCAAAAAAAAGAAAAGAAAAGAAAAGAAAUUCCAUAAGCAAAUUCCAUCAUUUUCUUAUGGGCCCCAUGAACAAAUUUCAUAAGCAGUCCAAAAAAAAUAAAGCACCAAACCCACAUGCAGAUUUGGGCCCAGAACUCUUAAGUCCAAAACUCAUCACAGUCCACAUGCAGAUUCGGGCCCAGAACAUAUAAAGUCCAAAACCUAUCUCAGUCCAAAUACAGAUUCGGAUCCAAGGCCCAAAACAAAGUCCGAAAUCCAUCUCAACCCACAUCCAGAUUUGAGUCUAAAACCAAUAAAAAUCUAUAUAAAUAAACUUCUCAACCCAAAACCCAAAAUCUACAAAUAAAAUCCCAAAAUCCAAAGUCCACAAAUAAAAUCCCAAAAUUCAAAGUCCACAAAUAAGAUCCAAAAUCCAAAAUCUAGAAAUAUAAUCCAACAAAAUCUACCAAACCUAUGUCAUCCAAAUGCCUCCAACCCAAACCGAAUUUAUGGGCUUUCCAAAUGGGCCCCUAAUUAUUAAUUAAUUCUAUGAA
rnacentral:lncRNA from 1 species